GUCGUUAUACAACGCGCAAGUGUGGUCUCUGUCACAGAUGUGGCUGUCGCAGAGAGUGCUGCCUCCUCUCCCGUUUCCAGCAGAUGCUUGGGAACCUUCAGAAGUCUUGGGGAUUUUCUCCCAGCACCGUAGCCAUGCCACCACGAGUGAACCCUUAACGUGGACCAGCACGGGCACCUCAGAUGCCAGGACCGGCGUGAUCCUGCAGGACGCUGGCAUCGGAUUCAUCCUGGUGAUAGACCGGCGACGGGACAAAUGGACCUCCGUGAAGGCGUCCGUCCUGCGCAUCGCAGCUUUCUAGAGGACCAUUUGCUAGGGGACCAGUCCCCAAACGGCCGCGCUUUUAGGAUUGGUUUUAGGAGUGAUGGCCUCACGCACACGGCAGCGGCCAUCCUGAGCACUUGUGUCUGAACAUCUGCAGGAACAGGGUCCACGCCCAUUGUUUUCCUCACCCGGUCCAGUGUCUCUGAUUCCGGCUCUAACGUCUUCUUCAUCUGUUAACACAGAGACACAAACAAACUUUCAAAUGCAUAUUUUUAUAUAAACUUGUGUUUACUGUUUGGCUACUGUCAGACAAAUGUAAUUGGUGAGGUUUCAGCUGCUCUGAAAUUAAAUAUAUAAUGUCAAGCUGGAUAGGUGUGGCUUGGAGCAGACCUUAAGGAAGGUGAUUUGAACUUGGGGAGGGUUUUUCAAACAGGGUUCCCCAAAGUACCCAGUUCUACAAAGUUCCCAGCAUGUCCUGUUGCUUUAGCUGCAUUGGUAAAUACAUGCAGUGAUUGUUUUGUGAGUCUCUAAGAAUAUUAACUCAGAAACCAGUGAACUCUUUUUCUAUCUCCAGACUACAGUGCUGUGGUCAUCACACAUAUGUGUUCCUAAGUUCAUCCAGGUCAGCCCA
rnacentral:sRNA from 1 species